GAUGAAGAACGUAGCGAAAUGCGAUAAUUAAUGUGAAUUGCAGAAUUCCGUGAAUCAUCGAGUCUUUGAACGCACAUUGCGCCUCAUGGCAUUCCGUGAGGCAUGUCCAUCUCAGCGUUAGAAAAUAUUCUCAAAUUUUAGUUUUGUGCUAAAAUUUGGAUCAUGUCAAAGAAGCUAUUACUAUUAUUGUGAUCGCUCUUUGGAAAUUGAUAGGUCUUUGAGUUGCUACUCAUAGAACGUGAUGAAUCUUUCUUCGUUCUAUUGUAAUUCACUCUGGUAGUCCUAAAACUUGUAUGCCUGUGGCAUAUCUUGUAAUUUGACCUGAGAUUGGGUAGGGAUACCCACUGAACUUAAGCAUAUCAAUAAGCGGAGGA
rnacentral:misc_RNA from 1 species